rnacentral:tRNA from 1 species
GAGGAUAUAUCUCAGCAGUAGAGUGCGUGCUUAGCACGCAUGAGGUCCUGGGUUCAGUACCCAAUACCUCCA